rnacentral:rRNA from 1 species
CAGCAGCCGCGGUAAUACGAAGGGUGCAAGCGUUACUCGGAAUUACUGGGCGUAAAGCGUGCGUAGGUGGUGGUUUAAGUCCGUUGUGAAAGCCCUGGGCUCAACCUGGGAAUUGCAGUGGAUACUGGGUCACUAGAGUGUGGUAGAGGAUAGUGGAAUUCCCGGUGUAGCGGUGAAAUGCGUAGAGAUCGGGAGGAACAUCAGUGGCGAAGGCGGCCAUCUGGGACAACACUGACGCUGAGGCACGAAAGCGUGGGGAGCAAACAGGAUUAGAUACCCCCGUAGUCCCUGUCUCUUAUAC